GAUGAACGCUGGCGGCGUGCCUAAUACAUGCAAGUCGAGCGAACAGACGAGGAGCUUGCUCCUCUGACGUUAGCGGCGGACGGGUGAGUAACACGUGGAUAACCUACCUAUAAGACUGGGAUAACUUCGGGAAACCGGAGCUAAUACCGGAUAAUAUAUUGAACCGCAUGGUUCAAUAGUGAAAUACGGUUUUGCUGUCACUUAUAGAUGGAUCCGCGCCGCAUUAGCUAGUUGGUAAGGUAACGGCUUAACAAGGCGACGAUGCGUAACCGUCCUGAGAGGGUGGUCCGACACCCGGGAACUGAGACACGGUCCCCACACCUGCGGUAGGAAGCAGUAGGGAAUCCUCCGCAAUGGGGCAAAGGCUGACAGAGGAACGCCGGGGGAGGGCUGAAGGUCUUCGGAUGGGAAAACUCUGUUAUUAGGGAAGAACAAAUGUGUAAGUAACUAUGCACGUCUUGACGGUACCUAAUCAGAAAGCCACGGCUAACUACGUG
rnacentral:rRNA from 1 species